rnacentral:rRNA from 1 species
UACGAAGGGGGCUAGCGUUGCUCGGAAUCACUGGGCGUAAAGGGCGCGUAGGCGGCCAUUCAAGUCGGGGGUGAAAGCCUGUGGCUCAACCACAGAAUUGCCUUCGAUACUGUUUGGCUUGAGUUUGGUAGAGGUUGGUGGAACUGCGAGUGUAGAGGUGAAAUUCGUAGAUAUUCGCAAGAACACCAGUGGCGAAGGCGGUGCUCUGGGCCGGAACUGACGCUGAGGAGCGAAAGCGUGGGGAGCAAACAGG